UGGGGAAUUUUGCACAAUGGGGGGAACCUUGAUGCAGCGACGCCGCGUGAGGGAUGGAGGCCUUCGGGUUGUGAACCUCUUUCGCUCGGGUGCAAGCCGCUAUUUGGGUAGUGGUGAGUGUAGCGGGUAAAGAAGCGAGGGCUAACGACGUGCCAGCAGCCGCGGUAAUACGUAGGGCGCGAGCGUUGUCCGGAUUUAUUGGGCGUAAAGGGCUUGUAGGCGGUUUGUCGCGCCUGUCGUGUAAUCCUCUGGCUUAACUGGGGGUGUGCGGUGGGUACGGGCAGGCUUGAGUGCGGUAGGGGAGAGUGGAAUUCCUGGUGUAGCGGUGGAAUGCGCAGAUAUCAGGAGGAACACCGGUGGCGAAGGCGGGUCUCUGGGCCGUUACUGACGCUGAGGAGCGAAAGCGUGGGGAGCGAACAGG
rnacentral:rRNA from 1 species